rnacentral:rRNA from 1 species
AACGAACGCUGGCGGCAUGCUUAACACAUGCAAGUCGAACGUGAAAGUGGACUUCGGUCCGCGAGUAAAGUGGCGCACGGGUGAGUAACACGUGGAUAAUCUACCCGAUGAUCUGGAAUAACACUUCGAAAGGGGUGCUAAUACCGGAUACGUUGAGUAAUCAAGAAAGGUGGCCUCUGAAUAUGCUACCGUGCUGAGAUGAGCUUGCGUACCAUUAGCUAGUUGGUAGGGUAAUGGCCUACCAAGGCGACGAUGGUUAGCGGGUCUGAGAGGAUGAUCCGCCACACUGGAACUGGAACACGGACCAGACUCCUACGGGAGGCAG